rnacentral:rRNA from 1 species
UACGUAGGGGGCAAGCGUUGUCCGGAAUCAUUGGGCGUAAAGAGCGUGUAGGCGCCUGGCAAGUCUCGCGUGAAAUCUUGCGGCUCAACCGCAAGCGGUCGUGAGAAACUGCCUGGCUAGAAUCCGGAAGAGGAGAGCGGAAUUCCUGGUGUAGCGGUGGAAUGCGCAGAUAUCAGGAAGAACACCCGUGGCGAAGGCGGCUCUCUGGGACGGUAUUGACGCUGAGACGCGAAAGCGUGGGGAGCGAACAGG